rnacentral:rRNA from 1 species
AUGCCGUCCGACGCCGCGGCCAAGGGGGUGAAGCUGGAGCGGUACGCCAGCGGCGGCGCGCUGCUGCUGCGCCGGGUGGCCAGCGGCAAGUUCGUCUCCGCCUCGUCGCACCUGCUCUUCCGCGCCACCGUGCUCGCCACGCUCGCGCUCGUCUUCCUCUUCGCGCUGCACUACCCGUCCCUCCUCUCCCGCUCCUUCAGCCUCGCCUCCGCCGACGGCGCCUCCUCGUCCUCCUCCUCCGCGCCGUCGCGGUCCCACCGGAGCCUGCUCGCGUCCUCGUCGGCCGCGGCCACGUACGGGAGCGAGCGGUGGCAGAAGGAGAUACGGCGCAGCGCCAAGCCGCGGCGGGACGGGGGGCUGUCCGUGCUCGUCACGGGCGCCGGCGGGUUCGUCGGCGCGCACUGCUCGCUCGCGCUCAAGGCGCGCGGCGACGGCGUCGUCGGCCUCGACAACUUCAACUCCUACUACGACCCGGCGCUCAAGCGCGGCCGCCAGGCGCUCCUCGCCGACCGCGGCGUCGUCGUGCUCGACGCCGACAUCAACGACGCGCUGCUUCUGGAGAAGCUCUUCGAGGCGGUGCCCUUCACGCACGUGCUGCACCUGGCGGCGCAGGCCGGGGUGCGCUACGCCAUGGAGGCGCCGCAGACGUACGUGGCGUCCAACGUGGCCGGGCUGGUGAGCGUGUUCGAGGCGGCCGCCAAGCACGCCGACCCGCAGCCGGCCGUCGUCUGGGCCUCCUCCUCCUCCGUCUACGGGCUCAACACCGACGCGCCCUUCUCCGAGGACCACCGCACCGACCGCCCGGCGUCGCUCUACGCGGCCACCAAGAAGGCCGGCGAGGCCAUCGCGCACGCCUACAACCACAUCUACGGCCUCUCCAUCACCGGCCUCCGCUUCUUCACCGUGUACGGGCCCUGGGGCCGCCCCGACAUGGCCUACUUCUCCUUCGCCCGCAGCAUCGUGGCCGGCGAGCCCAUCACGCUCUACGCCGACGCGCGCCGCGACUUCACCUACAUCGACGACGUGGUCAAGGGGUGCGUCGGCGCGCUGGACACCGCCGGCAGGAGCACCGGGUCCGCCAGGUCCGGCAAGAAGAGCGGGCCCGCGCCGCUGCGCGUGUACAACCUGGGCAACACCUCCCCGGUGCCGGUGACCCGGAUGGUGGCCAUCCUGGAGAAGCUGCUGGGGAAGAAGGCCAACAAGCGCAUCAUCGCCAUGCCCAGCAACGGCGACGUGCCCUUCACCCACGCCAACGUGAGCCACGCGGCGCACGACUUCGGGUACCGCCCCACCACCUCCCUCGACGCCGGGCUGCGCCACUUCGUGGACUGGUUCGUGCAGUACUACAAGCUGGACAUCAAGAUCGCCAAACCGGCCGCCAGCAAGAAGCCGGCGGCGACGAAGAAGAAGACCUCGGCGACGUCGGCAUCAUCGUGA